UCCUCCUCCUCUGUCGCCUGAUUGGUGGACUUUUCCCGCCUGACUCCCCAAUCGCCGGCCGGCGUAGUGUCAGCGGUCCCGCCCCGCCGUGCCGGUCCUUCCGGCUGCUGGUGUGUUUGGCACGAGGCUGUCCGCUUCGUGCCGGUGAGGCAGUUGGGGAAGGAGCGCCUUUCUUCUCCUGCGCGCCGACUGUUGGUCCGUCGCGACAGCAGACAAAACUGAAGACAGAAAAAACCCCACAAACAAGCAGAAACUAAAGGUGGCUGCAGUAAAAGCCUGUCAAAGUAUGUCAUGGGAGGAAACUUAGCAUUUGGUGAUGUCCAUGGGUUCCAGAUUUCAGGCAGACAUUGACCACAAAGGAUAUGCAUAUUAUGUGGCCCGUCCACGAUUGUCACAGAUUUCCCCUCGCACUGACUGCUGGAGCAUUCAGCACACAAGAACUGACUUUGUUUACUUUUUGACACACGUGUUGUGUUAUGUAUUAUGUCAUGUCUCCUCCCCACCUGCAUUGUUAUUGAUUGUCUCCCUCACGUGUCAUCAUUAUUCACAGCUGUUUAUGUUAUACCUUUAAUUUCGUUGUAUAUUUAAACCCCGUGUGUAUUUGUUCUGGUGAAGUAUUGUGCGUUUCUGUGUUUUGCCACCAGAGCCAUACCAAACCAAGCCUUUAGUUGUCCUCGCUUCCUCUGUUUUUGAUCCUGCCCUUGUUUCCUUCCUUUUCUUUAUGAUGUCAUGUUUAUGCCCGUUUGUAGAUCACCUGACCCAUGCCUGU